ACGCUUCAUUUGGCUCUCUCUUUUGUCUCUUUUAUCGAAAACAUUGAACACCCUAGACGUUUCUCUCAGAAAACCACAAACUGCAGAAAGAUCCUUGCACCAAUCAAGAUCUGACCAAAGCCUCGUAAAUUUUUUUAAUUCGAAUGGAGAAUCAGGGGUUCUUCCCAAUUUCAAAACUACUUCAUCUUUUUGUCCUUCACUUCACCAGAAAUUUCUUGACAUCAUUCGAUCUGAGAAGAGCAUAGACAAACCCUAGUCAUCUACUAAAUCCCUGUAAACCAAAUCAAUAACCCUCCAUCCCCGCAUCUCUCUCAAUCUCUCUACCAUUCUCUCUGAUCAAACAACAAAACGCCGAAGAAGUAGCAGAAGAAUAAGUAGAUGAAGACGAAGAAAUCAUGAAGGGUUUUCAGCAACAAAAGAUGAUGACUACAAGGAUGGAGAUGGAGAUCUUGUGAAACAGUGAGAUGGUAAUGCGAUGAUGAUGGAGCUGAAAUGGAGUUUAAAUUUGUCAUUACUUAUAUAUAUUUUUAUUCUUUUUAUUUUGUCUAAUCACUUGCCAGUGCGUUGAUGGAAACUAAUUUAUGAAUGACCUACAGAACUCCUCCUAAAGAAAUGAAUCGUAGAGGCAUUUUCAAGAAUCUUCCAAGGCUUUUGGAGUUUUUCAAAGACCCAUCUUUUGCUGCCUUUAUGCCCUUCACAUCCUCCAGUUCUUGGAUGACUUGUACUUGAUAAAAGAAAUGGAUCGAUAAUGUUUAUAUAAAGACUUUGAUUGGGGUACUUGGAAAGCUCCAAAUUGGAUGAAGAAAUGCCCAGUGGCGGUGUCUUUUGGUUUUGGAGGAUAAAUUGUUUCAUGUAAACAUAGUCAGUUAGCUACCAAUCCACCUACAGGAAGUUCCGAGGAUACUGGAUUACUCACAUUCCCUUACGUAUUGCUUUUCGAGGAACUAAAGGGAGCUGUUGCAAGUGCUUGUGGUAAUUUUACUACGCCACCAGCAAUGCUGAAUAUAACUUCCUCGUUGAUGAAAUAAUGGAUCCUAUUGGGGUGUUAUAUGAUGUUUCACUAGGUCAUAUGCUUAGGUGGCCAAAACUUCUACAGAAGAAAAUGCAAUGCCGAUUAAGUGGCAGUUUCAGUAGAUUGACUGCUUCACUUCAGUUUUUUCAGUGUGUUGAGUUGUAAAUGCCGAAUUUAUCCUUUUUUUUUGUUGUAAUGCUUUUUUUUUGGUUGUAAUGUGAAACUGAAUUCUUCUUUUAAAUGCAAUAUAUUUUCGAUUUUAUUUUA